rnacentral:lncRNA from 1 species
UGCCCCUCCCCUUUUUGUUUUCUUUGAUUCACAAGCUGGAAUUGAACCAGCAUCUUCGGUGGCUUUCCCAGCAUACUACCCUUUGUUGUGCUAUUGGGAAAGCCAGUUCCUUAUAAGAGUACAUCUGAGAUUUGGUUAUCAAGAAACUUGAUAACAGGAAGAAUGAAUAGGAUAUGUCCUCCUAGUCUGCUGUGAAUAAGAGGUCAGUGAAAAAUUGAUAAUAAAAUAGGGCCCCUUCCUUCUAGAAAGUGUACUAUUUCC